rnacentral:rRNA from 1 species
UACGGGAGGCAGCAGUAGGGAAUCUUCCGCAAUGGACGAAAGUCUGACGGAGCAACGCCGCGUGAACGAUGAAGGCUUUCGGGUCGUAAAGUUCUGUUGUUAGGGAAGACAAGUACCAGAGUAACUGCUGGUACCUUGACGGUACCUAACCAGAAAGCCACGGCUAACUACGUGCCAGCAGCCGCGGUAAUACGUAGGUGGCAAGCGUUGUCCGGAAUUAUUGGGCGUAAAGCGCGCGCAGGUGGUCCUUUAAGUCUGAUGUGAAAGCCCACGGCUCAACCGUGGAGGGUCAUUGGAAACUGGGGGACUUGAGUGCAGAAGAGGAAAGUGGAAUUCCACGUGUAGCGGUGAAAUGCGUAGAGAUGUGGAGGAACACCAGUGGCGAAGGCGACUUUUCUGGUCUGUAACUGACACUGAGGCGCGAAAGCGUGGGGAGCGAACAGGGAUUAGAUACC